rnacentral:misc_RNA from 1 species
CUGAACCGCUGACACGAGUUGUUGCUGGUCUCCAAACGGGGGCAUGUGCACGCUCUGUUUGUGCAUCCACUCACACCUGUGCACCUUCUGUAGUUCUGUGGCGUGGGGGACUCGUCCUCCUGCUGCGGUUCUGCAUCUUUACACUCACUCUGUGAUAAAGUCUAAUGGAAUGCAUGCCGCGUUUAACGCAAUACAAUA